GAGUUUGAUCCUGGCUCAGGACGAACGCUGGCGGCGUGCUUAACACAUGCAAGUCGAACGAAGAGCGAUGGAAGCUUGCUUCUAUCAAUCUUAGUGGCGAACGGGUGAGUAACGCGUAAUCAACCUGCCCUUCAGAGGGGGACAACAGUUGGAAACGACUGCUAAUACCGCAUACGAUUCAACCUUGGCAUCGAGGAUGAAUGAAAGGUGGCCUCUAUGUAUAAGCUAUCACUGAAGGAGGGGAUUGCGUCUGAUUAGCUAGUUGGAGGGGUAACGGCCCACCAAGGCGAUGAUCAGUAGCCGGUCUGAGAGGAUGAACGGCCACAUUGGGACUGAGACACGGCCCAGACUCCUACGGGAGGCAGCAGUGGGGAAUCUUCCGCAAUGGACGAAAGUCUGACGGAGCAACGCCGCGUGAGUGAUGACGGCCUUCGGGUUGUAAAGCUCUGUUAAUCGGGACGAAAGGUCUUCUUGCGAAUAGUUAGGAGAAUUGACGGUACCGGAAUAGAAAGCCACGGCUAACUACGUGCCAGCAGCCGCGGUAAUACGUAGGUGGCAAGUGUUGUCCGGAAUUAUUGGGCGUAAAGCGCGCGCAGGCGGAUCAGUUAGUCUGUCUUAAAAGUUCGGGGCUUAACCCCGUGAUGGGAUGGAAACUGCUGAUCUAGAGUAUCGGAGAGGAAAGUGGAAUUCCUAGUGUAGCGGUGAAAUGCGUAGAUAUUAGGAAGAACACCAGUGGCGAAGGCGACUUUCUGGACGAAAACUGACGCUGAGGCGCGAAAGCCAGGGGAGCGAACGGGAUU
rnacentral:rRNA from 1 species